AUGCGCAUCCGACAAAUAUAAAAUAAAUUAAAUUGUGGAUAUUUGUUUGAAGAAGAAACACAACCAACCAAUGAUUCACUUGACAUUACUUUUAUUUAAUUGACACAACCGGAUUUAUUACAAUUACGUUAGUUUAUAAACUAAGCAAAGAAAUCAAAUGAAAGAGGCUCCAACUGUGCUGUUCCACUACAGAGGUCUUCAUUGGCCAUGGUCAGAGAAUGACAGCACCUGAUCCUCUGGGAUAUCUGUGACACUGUGAGGUCAGGGGACGACCCCAGUGGGGACUGUGCUACAUGUUUAUCUUCAGAAUGAUAUACAAUAAUCAGAGGAGGCUAGUGGGAGGGGCUGUAGGAGGACAGGCUCAUUGUAAUGGCUUAAAUGGAACAGUAUCCAACACAUCAAACUAAUGGAAGCCACAUGUUUGACCCCCUUCCAUUAAUUCCAUUCCAGCCAUUACAAUGAGCCCAUCUCGUGUAGCUCAGUUGGUAGAGCAUGCGCUUUCAAUGCCAGGGUUGUGGGUAGGAUUCCCGCCGAGGACCAGCACAAAAAAAAGUAUUAAAAUAUAUGCACUCACUACUGUAAGUUGCUCUGGGUAAGAGUGUCUGCUAAAUGACUAAAAUGUAAAUGUAAGCUCCUCUUCUGACAAUAAAAUAUAUCUACUCAAUUAUUUCCUUCCUCUGAUGUUUCUAGAAACAAUAUCUCUCUCAUCGUCACUCAAUACCUAGGUUUACCUCCACUGUAUUCACAUCCUACCAUACCUUUGUCUGUACAUUAUGCCUUGAAUCUAUUCUACCGUGCCCAGAAACGUGCUCCUUUUACUCUCUGUUCCGAAAGUACUAGACAGCAUAGAAG